rnacentral:lncRNA from 1 species
CCCUCCGCAGCGGCCAUCCCCACUCCGUCGCGAUCCACCGAAUCUUCUCCACCCGCGUCGCCGCCGCCGCCGCCAGCUGCCAGCUCGCGGCCUUCACCGCCUCCACCGCGUCGGCGUAAUGUUUAAAUGUAAUGUUUAAAUAGCUGUAAUGUAAUAUUUAAAUGGCUGCAAUGUUUAAAUAGCUGUAAUGUUUAAAUGGCAUGUAAUGUUAUUUAAAUGGCUGCAAUGACUGCAAUGUUUAAAUAGCUGUAAUGUUUAAAUGGCUGCAAUGACUAAUCAUAAAUCUUUUAAUUCUAAUAUAUUUGCAUGAUAUAAAUUUAUUUCAAAAAAACUAUAAGGUGCAGAUUAGUACCAUCUAGACUCAAUUCAGUGUAUCCUUAAGAUUCUAUAGAGUAGAUAAUGAAAAGAAUAAAACUAUACACAUAUUGUUGUAUUAUUGUCCUCAACCUAAUGCACCUUAUAAUAGCAUCUAGCUAGACGGAAAUCAAUAGUUUGGAUGAUGAUUUCAGCUUUCUGACAUUAGCUAAAAUAAGGCACUUGGAGCUAAAUUUGUUUCAAUUAAAAAAGAAGCAAAGGAUGGUCGGGCAUUCGUUUAUAAUAUAUUCGCUAAAGGUGCUCUAUUUGUAAUUAAAAAUUUUUAUUUGUGACAUUUAGAUACAUGAUACUAAUAGUUCCUUACUAUUAUGCCGCAAUACAAUUUCACGCAAAGCAGAGUAGAGUAUAAAAAUAUAUUUUAUGACAAAUCGAAUCGAGUUGAUCCAUCUGUUUCGGACUAAUAAUAGAUAAACGAAAAACCUUUCAUUCAGGUGACAAUUAUCACAAACAAUGAAGUGUUAAUACAAUCAAAUCUUACUAGCGACAUAAUUCUGUUUCACCCCUAUGAAAACGUAUUGGAACUAAUAAAUAACUUAUUAUCAUGCUAUUGAGUAUCUAUAAGUUAUUUCUACACCACUAUUAUUCUAAGGUUGGUUAGUCUUAAUGAGGAGAUGAUAAAUAUCAAAAAUUAGAGUAAAAAAUCUGGAAAAAUUUAUCAAUCUAAUAAUGAACAUUAUAUGUAUCAUAAUUACAUAAAUAAUUAAUAACGCGACGACCUGAGUUAGAUAACCAUUUAUAAGGAAACGCUACAACACAAUCAACUCAACCACCAAAUAUCAGCAAAAACAAGAGUCCAACAAAUAAAUACAUUAAACCGAAUUCCUAAACCUAUUAGACAGUCAAACUAAUAUUUUGCGCGCCCUAUGAAUACAAAAGUAUCUGAUCAUAAAGACAUCUCUUCUCAAUGAGAUACCUUUUUGUCUCCAAUCUCAUCACACCAGAAAAGACGCAAUAACCUAGUUAUAUCCGUUUCUACCUUAUGCUCGAGAAAGUGCGUAAAUUUGGAAACGAAUCGAUGUCAACGGUUCAGAAGAACAAAAACCCGGUCCAACGAACAAUUACCACUGAUCCUGAGCCACACGUCCUGGCGCUUCUAACAGGGGUGGGACGAGGCGUCGAGACUCCUAACUCUUCCUGCCACACGAGCUGCACAUCUCCCCUUCUUUAUCCCAUAUAUCUCUUACUCGUCGCGAUCGACACCGAACAUAUCUCCACCCCGUCGCAGCGGCAGUAAAACCUACAUUAUAUUGGUUCUACUUGCCAUGCCGAGAGUCGUAAAUUUUGAAAAACGAAAUCGAUGUUCCCAAUGUUCAGCAAGAAUAAAAACCGGGAAGAGACAGCAUGUAGUGCCAUAUGACUCGCGCCCAGUUUCACGCGCCCAAUGCCACCGCGUCGGCGUAAUACGCUAAAUGUAAAUAUUAAAAUAGUCUUAUAAUGUCAAACGCGUAGUAACUUGUAUAUUUUGCAUUUAAAUGCUGGUCUUCGCAAAAAAACCUUAAAUAUAAAUAUCACGUAAGAUAUUUUUAAAGCCUUGGCAUGAUUUAAGUUGUUCUCACCCGAGUAGUAUUAGUAAAAAUGUUCUGCAAUGUAGAACGAAUCAUGUCAUCGUGUUUACACAAUACCAAGAAACGCUAGUAAAUCGGGUAACCUAAAACAUUAGAGCUUUCAAGUGACAUCUUAGAUCAGCGACCAAUAAUAUUUAACCUCUAAUAUAUUACAGUAUAACUGCUUAUAUGCAUAACAGAGUACUAAUUUUCCUUAUUUCAAAAAACUAUAAGGUGCAGAUUAGUACCAUCGAGACUCAAUUCAGUGU